AGUCUCGGUCAUUUAGAGGAAGUAAAAGUCGUAACAAGGUUUCCGUAGGUGAACCUGCGGAAGGAUCAUUAGUGAUUGGCCGAAAGGCCCUUUACAUCCAAACCUCUGUGAACCGUUGCCUCCGGGCAAAAUAUUUUAAACAAAUGUGUAAUGAAUGUAUAAUAUAUUAACAAUUAAAACUUUCAACAACGGAUCUCUUGGCUCUCGCAUCGAUGAAGAACGCAGCGAAAUGCGAUAAGUAAUGUGAAUUGCAGAAUUCAGUGAAUCAUCGAAUCUUUGAACGCACCUUGCGCCUUUUGGUAUUCCGAAAGGCAUGCCUGUUUGAGUGUCAUGAAAUAUCAACCCCUCAGGUUUUUGCCUGAAGGGCUGGACUUGGGUGUCUGCCAGUAAUGGCUCGCCUUAAAAGUGUUAGCGGACCCGUUUCCAUUAGCUUGACGUAAUAAGUUUCGUCUGGUCUAAGGUUGCACCUGCUCAUAACCCCCCAUAUUUCUUUAGCUCUGACCUCAAAUCAGGUAGGACUACCCGCUGAACUUAAGCAUAUCAAUAAGCGGAGGA
rnacentral:rRNA from 1 species